AAGAGGUACGAGCUAUUGUCACGGAAUUUUUGUUGAAGAUUUAAGCUUCACGUUUUAAUCUGAAACAAGGGUAAUUUUACAGGGCAAGUAUCGAACAAUUUUUUUUUUUUUUAACAUAUUCCAAAAUGGCCAAGGUACAGUAAAUCUUCAGGAAGCUUUUAUUUUCAGCUACUCUACUUUUAAUUCAAAAUAGUACAAGGUAAUUUAUAAAUACUGAUAAAAGUAUGAUAGCCUUUAAUUCGCACGCCUACUCCUGCAAAUCUUACGACCCCGAGCGACUUUCCACGCGCGAAAGGAAGCGAAAAACUGGAAAACGCAACGACUUAUUGUUCGCGGCAUCGCGGUGAUAAGACUCGAGGCGGUGUUCAAUCGCGUUGGAACCUUCGUUACAGCUGCGGAAAUGUCCGCUGAAACGAGGUGAAGGCUACCAGAUGUAGAUACAGGUCGGGCCCGCGGUGUAUUAAGCUGUGUACGCAUGCACAGGUUGCGGGCGCUCGCACGUAGACGCCUGCCGGCGUUAGGUCGGUUAAAGAAGCUACGGCGAUGCUUAACAGUGCAUAAGUAAGUAACUAACAAGCGAGUUGCAUAACACCGCGGCCGUUGUCGCCGGGCGAUAUGCACUUGGUGUCGGGAGUUCGUGUAGAACGUUAAGGCUUGCUCGCACAGCAAGUACGGCAACACGAUGCCGACGUCGACUACCUAUCAGCGAUUGCGUUAACCUUAAGGCGAUACCAGCCUGUGUGUGUGUGUGUGUGUGUGUGUGUGUGUGUGUGUGUGUGUGUGCGUGCGUGUGUGUGUGUGUUUGUACUCGUUCUACACAAGUGUGACGCGGCUUAGCGAUAUCGUGCGUGCAAGUGCGGACACCCGAGAGCAUUGUGUGCAACUGCAUCACGGAACGACCGCCGCGCGACACGAUAGAACGCGAUGCAGUUCUUCUCGUCGCGGAAAUUAUAUAAUAUUAACGCGGGCUGGCUACUGCACCGCCCUCAGGUGACGUAAUCGACGCUGAUUUCUGGCCAGUUCGCGAGAACACCGGCAAAAAACUCCACCUGAUAAGCGGAAAAAGAAUCCCCGAGGAGCUAAGGUUAAUGGAUUUCAAACAGCUGGAAACGGUGACGAGGAUUUUCUGAUAUUACCUUGAAACAAGCUAACUGUUAUUUAGCAGGCGCGACUGCUGACUAAAAAUGACGAAGUUGAGGAAAAGACAUGUGGAAGAAAACUAAACGAAAUUUUUGUUUGCUGUUUGUCAAAUUGCACCUUCUUGGCAAAAUUUAAAUACAAAUUGUUGGUAAUCGGAGAUGUUUUGGAAAGCAUUGACCGCGUUCCAGGAAAUAUGAUUCAUGAUGCGGGACGUGGGACCAUUGAACUGUGUGCGGAACAAUCCCGUGAUUUCCGGAACGUCUGGUACAGGGUUGGGCAAAAAUCCAUUCGAACAGCAAUCCACUGAGUUGCUUGAGAAAUAAUACAAAAAUUGUUGAAGAGGAGUUUAUACGAAAUGCAUGUUUCGAACGAGGCCAAUUUCAAAUUAGAACUUAAUUACAGUCCAGGAAAAAUGUACAGUAGAAGUUACAAUAAACUUAUAUGCAAUGUGAGAGAAACACAGAAAUAUAUAAACACAUCUUUGAAUCUAGAUCACAUUGCAAUUUUUAUUAUAGACAAAUUCUAUCUAGGCUCAAAUUGAGUUCUAAUAUUACUAUUUAAAGGACGCUGACUACUUAAAUAAUCAAAAAAUAUCACAAUUCAUUCGAAUAAAUUUCCAACAUUUAUAUCAUCAUAAUUGUACGUUCGCUCAACGUGGUAUAUAAUAUCGUUCCACAGCUUAAAUUUGUGAUUUAUAUCGAAUCGGUAACGAAUAAAAAAUUGUUUGUUUCAUUCGUUAUUCCAAUUUUUUUUAUUUACAUAAGAAUUUUGCCCCUCUGAUCCGGUAACCCUGAACGGCCUGCCAUUGCUCGAGAUAAACGAACAGUAAUUACGUCUUACAAGUUACAUUUCAAUCGACUUUUACUCUUGCCGCCAUUGUAAUCUGGUCUAUCCGCUUAUUCGAUUCCACGAAUGCACGCGGCGCGCGUUUCCAGGCAGCAAGUGAACGAACCAUUAUCGAGCAAUCCGCGCAUACGAUGAAAAACGCAGAGAAGCACUUUCUAAGGCAGCGUUUACCAGACUUUUUUUUGGCGCGGAAUCACUUUUCACGAAAAGCUCGCAUAGAUUUGUAGCUACUCAGUUUUUUAAACGAAAAAUGUACAAUUAAUGUUUAAAUACAUUUUGUCUUCGAAAUCGAGACGAAAAUAAAAGCGUACGUGUGCAAAUCAUAAGAUCGACGAAAGGUUAAACACGCGAUUUCUGUAGAAAAAAUAUAAACGUAUACAAACGUACAGACAAAUUACAAGUUUGAAGAUGGAUAUAAACAUACAAGUACGUAUGCAAAUAAUAAUAUCUGUUGAAAGGUAAACCGUUUUUCUAUAUACGGAGAAUGCAUAUGCAUACGUAUCGAAACAAUACAAAUUAGGAGUUCGAAGAGGGAAAAACUAGUUACAAAGAAUUCUUAGCUCUUCGUAAACAUAUCACCGCACUGCCACUUUUUUGUUAAUGUCAUUAGCAUAUAAAGAGUAUAUGCAAAGCGUAUUAUUAAUGUACGUCUAUUAUUAGUCGGUGCUGGUAUAUUGGUAACCGUAAAAAAUAUUGCAAAAAAUGAUAAUGAUUGACGUAUAGCGAACGCUGCAUAUAUGCAGGGAUGAUUGAAUCUAAUAAACGUAAAAAAUUAUAUCUACAAGCAAUGUGCAAGUACCGAUACAAAAUAAAAUUGAUGUAAAAUGAAAUAAUGAUGUAAUAUUAAUAACUACGUGACGUUAGAGUGUGUUCAAUUCGAACAGGAACAGGUUACUUGUAGUAUACCACGUGGGUAUUCACAUUGCACCUUAAUUUUAUUUUUAAUCAUCAUCGUGGUACAAAUAAUUAUUCAAUGAGGAUUGAUUAAUUAAUAAACCAAUUUUUUUCUGUCUCGACAGGAAAAAAAAUCGGACUGAAAAUACAUUCUUUCUUUGCAAUUCAAUGUAAGUAACACACAUUCACGACACAAAGUAUUCCUGUACAUCCGAAGAGAACCAGUACAGUGUCGGAAACGUUUACAUAAUGUAUGAAAUAUUUUUUCAGUCAAUGAAUAUUUAAACACUACCAGCUACCAGUACGACCCAAUUUCAACGUGCAUUAAAAAUACGAGCAGGCAAAGUCGCUAUUAAUCUCGUUUAUCGAUUGCAAUUUAUUUUUUGAAUUAUUAAUUGCUAUAUCUCACAAGACAGGUGGCCACCUCGCACAGAAAUAUACUUUGGGAGAUGUCGUUUCAAGGAAACAGGGACAACACAUCAGUCUUAAGACAGGUGGUCACCUCGCACGGAAACACAAUUUGGAAGACGUCGUUUCAAGGAAACAGCGACACCCGGUAUGCAGGCGAACCACGCGACGUAUCGUGCGACAGAGUAGAAGGGCGUGCCUGCAGUCGCUGCACACUGCGCAGUUUGUUGCACGCGCUGCAAUCGUCCGUAUGCAGCCGAGAUGUGAGAGUUGCACGAGUCGCAUACGUGAACGCACACGCGUGCACGCAAACACACCGAGUCUCGGUCGUGCACACCAGUACAGAGCUCGAUUUUUACGCGACGAUAGAUAUCUAAUGUGACAUUAGGGGUCGCGGACAAUGCACAUUAAUUGAACGAAACAUAUUUCAUUCAUUAAAUAUAAUAAUUCUAUUGCAGUGAUACCUUAUCGCGCGAUAUCGUUUCUUUUAUCUAUAUUGGUUAUUGUCUACUAUUCCCCAACGUCAACAGGAGAUAACGCUUUAAAUACGACAAAAAGGCAUGAUAUAAAGUAAGAAUUGUGAUCAGAUCAAGAAUAUACUUCUAUUGUACAGUAGGUACUAAUUUGAAUUUAAUAAAUUAGUCGAGUCUGUCUAUAAAAAUUAUUUUUCACUUUCUCGAUCAUACCGAAGGCUAUUUUGUUAAAUAACAUUUAGGAGCGACUUCUAUUAUUUAUGAGAAAAAGAUUUCUAAAGAAAAAACGAAAAAUCUAUGACUAAUCGUAAGUGUAUAAUAGAAUCAUUUAAUGAAUGAAUCUCGUUUCAUUCGGUUAAUACGCACUUUCUAACCUCGUCGCGUACCAUAAUUUCAUACUUUCUAAAUCAAAAAAAAAAAACUAUCAUUCACUCACUGAUUAUAAAACUAAAUGUUGAUGUCUUUCAUACGUUGGAUACCUUAUCAAAUAAUUUACCGAAGAAAUAUAGAUUUAUGUCCACGAACGAAUUUCAAAUCUCGUGUCCGAUGAAAAUAAUAACCAUGCGUAAAAUAGCUGACCACAUCUGAACUAGUAGGACAACUUUUCAAAGUUGUUUAUGAAUCACGUUCCUCGGAGCGAUACGUUUCGAAGCACGAUUCAGAUUUUUCGGUGGUUGCUGAUUAGAUGGCACGAGAUUAUUUUUCAUAGCCCUCGGUGCAUACAUGCCGUGUUGUUUGGCCGUGAAAUGCGAAAUGAUUCAAAAGAGCUUAUAUAGAUGCGCUGGAAACCUAAUAAUCUGAUAUCAUACAAACGUAAUACGCUGCAGCGUAAACACUCCUGUUAUUAAAGUGCACGAAAGAGGAAACUUCUUGUCUACCUGACAUUAGCUAUGGCAAAAAAAAAGCUUUUAAUUAAAACGCUUUUGAAUCCGUUCUCCCGAAGCAUAAAUCAUUAAUAAACAUAUUCCACAAACCUUAUCUAGCGAUUCUUAUCAUCCCCGGCAAAAAAACAAGUGCAUUUCACAGGUCAUUCAUGCCGUGCUAUAAGUUACGAUCAGUCACGCGUGACAUACAUAUUAACCUAACUCGGUUGCAAACAAUAUGUAAUUUUCUCACCGCUCGUAAUCAUCGUUUUUCCGCGCGACCAAUCGCCCAUAAGCGACCGCGUUUAACAAAUCAUUCCAGUUUCUCGAGUUGCUCCUGAGGUGCUCGUAAAAUGAUGAAGAAAAGUGUAUCAAAGUAUGCGAUACGAUGCACCAAGCAUUAAACGUCUGUUGGAUGGAUAUACAUUUCCGCUCAUAAAUCAUCGAAUGCCCAGUAAAUGUAGAAUACAAUUGUCUUUACGGAAUGGUGUAAAUUAUGAAAAGAAAUUAACAUUUAUUGCUCAUUUGCGAUAAAUAGAAUGUGUAAAUCAUAUUCCCUAUCAAAGAUUUAAUCGAACUGUCGACGAACAAUAUUGACACGCGUGCGUGUAUGUUUGCUUUUAUAUCAAAAUUAUUUGGAACAACGAUACCUUUUAAAAUUAAAAAACACACGAUAUUAAAGAGAGACAGGAUACACUCUAUCCAUAUAGUUGUAUAUCUACUAUAAAUACAAUGAAUUGUGAAAAGUGUUUAUCGUACGAAAUCCAAAAUAUAAAAUUCGUUCAU